ensembl:miRNA
UGUGCAUGUGUGUGUAACUUUGUGUGAAUGUAUAUGUGUGUAUAUUUUAUGCAUAUACAUACACACACCUAUAUACACAUGCACA